CUCAGUUGGUUAGAGCGCCCGGCUCAUAACCGGUAGGUCUGGGGUUCGAGUCCCUGAUGGCCCACCACAUUAAAUUAAUUAAUAUAAAUUCGAGGUGUAGCGCAGUUUGGUAGCGCACAUGGUUUGGGACCAUGGGGCCGGGGGUUCGAGUCCCUUCACCUCGACCAAUAUAAGGUGGGUAUAGCUCAGUUGGUUAGAGCGCCAGAUUGUGGCUCUGGAGGUCGUGAGUUCGACUCUCAUUAUCCACCCCAACUCAUAUGGUCUAUUAGCUCAGUCGGUAGAGCACCUGACUUUUAAUCAGGGUGUCCCGCGUUCGAGUCGCGGAUAGAUCACCAAAAAGGUGGCGACAUAGCCAAGUGGUAAGGCAGUGGACUGCAACUCCUUGAUCCCCAGUUCGAAUCUGGGUGUCGCCUCCAANGUCAAGAAAAGUCUCUAUCGAGGUUAAAGGUACCCGUACCGCAAACCGACACAGGUGGGUGAGGAGAGUAUCCUAAGGCCAGCGAGAGAACUGUUGUUAAGGAACUCGGCAAAAUGACCCCGUAACUUAGGGAUAAGGGGUGCCACCAUCAGGUGGCCGCAGAGAAUAGGCCCAAGCGACUGUUUACCAAAAACAUAGGUUUCUGCUAAGUCGCAAGACGAUGUAUAGGAGCUGACGCCUGCCCGGUGCUGGAAGGUUAAGGGGAUCUGUUAGAGCAAUCGAAGCAGUGAACUUAAGCCCCAGUAAACGGCGGCCGUAACUAUAACGGUCCUAAGGUAGCGAAAUUCCUUGUCGGGUAAGUUCCGACCCGCACGAAAGGCGUAACGAUUUGGGCACUGUCUCAACAACAGACUCGGUGAAAUUGUAAUUCCGGUGAAGAUGCCGGAUACCUGCGACAGGACGGAAAGACCCCAUGGAGCUUUACUGUAGCUUGACAUUGGGUCUUGGUACUACAUGUACAGGAUAGGUGGGAGGCUUUGAAACCAGGACGCCAGUUUUGGCGGAGCCAUCCUUGGGAUACCACCCUUGUAGUACUGGGACUCUAACCAUAGGCCAUGAAUCUGGUCUUGGGACACUGUCAGGUGGGCAGUUUGACUGGGGCGGUCGCCUCCCAAAAGGUAACGGAGGCGCUCAAAGGUUCUCUCAGUACGGUCGGAAAUCGUACGUAGAGUGUAAAGGCAAAAGAGAGCUUGAUUGCAAGACAUACAGGUCGAGCAAGGAUGAAAAUCGGACUUAGUGAUCCGGUGGUUCUGCGUGGAAGGGCCAUCGCUCAACGGAUAAAAGCUACCCUGGGGAUAACAGGCUUAUCUCCCCCAAGAGUCCACAUCGACGGGGAGGUUUGGCACCUCGAUGUCGGCUCAUCACAUCCUGGGGCUGUAGUAGGUCCCAAGGGUUGGGCUGUUCGCCCAUUAAAGUGGUACGCGAGCUGGGUUCAGAACGUCGUGAGACAGUUCGGUCCCUAUCCGUCGCAGGCGUAGGAAAUUUGAGAAGACCUGUCCUUAGUACGAGAGGACCGGGAUGGACGUACCUCUGGUGUACCAGUUGUUCUGCCAAGGGCAUGGCUGGGUAGCUAUGUACGGAAUGGAUAAGCGCUGAAAGCAUCUAAGCGCGAAGCCAACUUCAAGAUAAGAUUUCCCACCGCAAGGGUAAGACCCCAGAAAGACUAUCUGGUUGAUAGGUCGAAGGUGUAAGUGCAGCAAUGUAUUUAGCUUAUCGAUACUAAUAGGUCGAGGACUUGACCAA
rnacentral:rRNA from 1 species